rnacentral:lncRNA from 1 species
UAGGUUUAACUAAAUAAAUUUAUUUGAUUAAUAAAACUUCCGACAAAGCUUAUGUACAAACUAUGUACAUAAUCUUAUCAUAGGGUUUUUCUAAGUGCCGCCCUUCUUCACCAAGCUUACGAGCUAAAGAGAUAAGCUAUUCCCACCUUCAUCUGAACAAAUAAGCCAACAGAUGACUAGAUGAUGCGGCUAAAGAUCAAAUUAACCAAAUCAUGAAAAUGUAAACAAAGGACAUGUUCCAACAAAAACCAAUGUUCAAAUAAUCUGCAAAGUAGAUCAUCCGAAAAAUGCAAAAAAGAUGACAUGUUACAACCAAAACCAGUGUUCAAAAGAUGAUUCUAGAAAACGCAAACAAAGGACAUGUUCCAACCAAAACCUGUGUUCAAAUGACAAUUCUAGAAAAUGCAAACAUAGGACAUUUUCCAACCAAAACCAGUGUUCAAAUGAAAAUUCCAUAUUUGCUCUCUACCUUCUACGUCUCAGAAGAGUUGGGUCCUCUCAUCAAUCCAAAACCAACAACUGCACAAAUCCAUGCAUGAGACAAUAUUUACUAACAUGUAGACGUUAAAAAUCAGACAUUGUAAUAAAUCUACAAACAAGAUAUUACAAUAAUUAACGAGGACAGGAUAUGAUUCCCAAAAGCAGUAAGAAAAAUUGAAACAACCAUGAAGUUAUAAUCAAAGCCCUAUAUAGAUAGAGAGCAUGACUACAGUAAACUUGAAUUACUUUAUCAUACUAGGAAAUUACUUAUAAGUACUUGGAGGGAACUGAACAGAAACACAAGGUAAACCAAAAGCUUCAUCAUUUUCCCUGAUAAAUAUAUGCUGCAGAUAUGGUUUGCGAAGAUUUGAAAAUUGUGGUUUGAUAUGAUUUUACUUUAUAGAUCAUCUUUUUUCACUCAUAGAAAAAUCUCUCAACCGUUUGUUUGAAAAACACCCAGACAUUGCAUCAAUGUUAUGUAUAAAGAUCCAACUUCUGAAGACAACGUCAAAGCAUAUCCUACUCAGCUGGACUGAGACUUUGCGCAUGUCGCCUAAAAUCUCCAAGGAUGAUCUGUUUGAUGGAGAAAUUACUCUGGCAUACAUGACAAAUGUAGGGUUUAGGUUGGAUUGGUUGGAGAAGAAAUUUGGCGAAGUAAAAGAAAAUAUGGCGAAAGAGAAAGCUGGUGAGAUCUGGAUACUGAAGAAAAGUUAAAGGAUUUGAAGCAGAAGAGCUCAAACCUUGAAGCUCAGAUGGAGAAGGAGAGGGCAGGGGUUUUGGCUGCCAGAGCUCCUCUAUUGUUGUCUGAUGAGGAUAUUGUGUGAUGAAUUAAGUUCUUAGGACUUGGAUUUAGGUUCUGCUAGUGCUGUUUCGUACUUUGAAGACUCUCCAUUCAAAGGGUUAACUGAGUUUCUUGAUGGAAAAGUAAUGGCUUGGUUUUCGAAGAGAGUAGUCUAUGAAUAGUUGCGGCCAAACAUGUAUGGAUGCUUCUUGGUUAUUAUGUUUGGCGUUUUGCAAUUUUGCAUGAUUGAUUUUUUUGAUCAAUUCCUCCAAAUUUUUGUGUAUUAGAAUAUUAAAAUGAAAGGAUAUAUGUUGAAGAUAGGUUAUGAAGGAGCGAAGAAGAAGAAUUAUGAAGGAGCGAAGAAGAAGAAAGGAAAAUUGUGAUUUAACCACACAAAUUUAUUUAAUAAAAUAGCCACACUUUCCGAUAUCAUUUGCUGGACAUUUCUUUUAGUUUUUCUUUUAGUGUGUUUGUACGUGAUUAACCAUUUUAAGGUUUAGUGAGAACAGAACUAUCUUUCAGUAUAAACUUCCCAGAAAAUCCUAUCAGUUAUUAGAACUAACUAUUGUCAAACAUGAUAUUGUACUGUGUUUUAUCCAACCUCCAAAAUACAAACACACUCGAUUAAAGAAAAAAAUUAUACUAGUUACGAACAAUCUAGAUCACUAUAUCGGCUAAUAUUCUGGUGCAGCCAUUUUGACUCUGUUAGACAAUUAUUCUCCAAAAAUAUUCCAAAAUUCAAACCUUAUAGAAUUCUAUAAACUAAUGAGAGAAAAAAACUAUUAUAGUAUGAUUUUCUUCAAAUUCCAUUUCUUUGGGUGUUCUCUUGCACUCUUAAACUUUCAUUUAAUCAAAACUCCCAAUGAUUAGGGAAAAAAAAAAUCUAAUAUAAUGUUGGGAAAAACUCAUGUAAUAAUUUCCUCAAACCUUUACCCUUAAAACAUCACUAAUUGGAUAAAACCCCAAUAUCAAUUUAUUCAGACCUUAGACUAAGACAUUACACCAAACAUUUGAAACAACUCAUUUUUUCCCCUAACAAAAAAAAAAUUGUUUGUACUACUUGAAGCUGCAGAAGAAAAAGAAGAAGAAUUCAAGCAAUUUCCUAACAUUUUCUACCAUUGAUAUUGGACGAGAUCGAGAAUUAUCUGGCAUCGGAUUUGAAUACUUCAGAUGUUGGUGAAAGAAAAUCCAUAACAGCGAAGUAUGAUUUCUCUUUGUACGAAAUUAGGAACACAUGUGUAUGGAUCUCUAUCAGUACAAUAGUACAAUUAACAUAUCAAUACGGAAGGAAACAUCAAUAUAGUCCAUGUUGAAACGACGUAAAAGGUGUAAAAUUAAAAACGCAAACAUAAAAUUACUUAUUAGAAAACCAAAAAAAAAUCCAAACAGAAAGUAUCAAAAGAAGAACAACCAAUCAUAUAGUCAUGUAAAUUUCCAUCUGACUCGAUCAAUCUUGCAAAGAAAUAAAAGUUUCUUAGAAACAAAUGAAUAUUUUAUAAAAAGAGAUGAAGAUCGGACCGUAAUGCUUACAUUCCCCAGAAGAGAAGAGAUGAGAUGGGGUUUAGAUUCAGAUUCAGACAAGAAUACUUCUCGAUGUAACCCUUUUUUUUCUUCUUCUCAAAAACACAUCAAGUUCCCACUAUCAUGGAUCGAUAAUCCUGUGAGGGGGUUGCUUGUUUUUUUUUCUUACUUUCUUGAACAUGAUCAACAACAAGACCUGGAUCUUCAUUGUGUUUGUUCUCAAACUCACUCCAAACUUCUUCUUGUUCUUUUGAUGAGACUUGUUUGGUGGAAGUUUGGUGGUGUUGAUGAUGAUGAGAGAGUGAGAGUGAGAGGAAAUUAUAGCUGUUAAAAAGAAGAAGAGACAUGAUGAUUACUGACUAGUACAGCAUUGAAAAAAU